ensembl:lncRNA
CUUCAGUCAGCCUGCAAACCUAGAGGCCCGUUUGCAAAAAAAAAAAAAAAAAAAUACAGCGUGGAAAAGCCUCCACCGAGUUCGUACAAAGCCCUAGCUCUCUGAAUGGAUUCUUUGGUUUGUUUUUACUUUAACUGAUUUCAGCCUUUAGUCCUGCGCAAACCGCUCUGCUGCUGAGAGAUUUAAAGGAAAGGUUCUGCGCCUUUAAGAACUCAAUUCAGCUGCUCCACGGACUGAAGCACGCCAAGCCUCCCUGUCCUUCACCAUCUCCCGGAGCUUGCUCGGACUCCUGUCCAUUGAACCUUAAGGACUCCAGAGACCAGAGCAACUGAUAAUGUGCCAGGCCUGGAAAAGACCCCACCCAGGGAAGUCUUCCUCUUCCUGUUUCACAGUAACUGAAUGAACCAAGUUGUGGUAUCAACAUUUGAGAAGCUCCCCCAUUGCCUCCCCAGCAAUGCAACAGAGAAGUUUCCAUGGCCUAUAGCAGAAGAUGUUAGGACAGAAUCCAAACCCUCAGUAACACGACACGGAAAAUACAGAUUUGAGAAACAGAUGGUCUUACUUCCCAAUAAGGGGGAAAAAAUGAUUUUACGCAGGUUGGAGUGGAACCAGCGAAGACUUGCCACUCAAUUCCAGCACUAUGUGCCAGUCACAUACUUUACAGUGAAGCACUUGAACCCUCCCUCCAACAACCCUACCAUGGAAUCUACUAUUAACUGCACUUGAUAGAUUUGAAAACAGUCACGUGGGCUUUCUGGGGGCUCAGUGGUAAAGAAUCCACCUGCCAAUGCAGGAGACACGGGUUCAAUCCCUGGUCCAGGAAGAUCCCACAUGCCAUGGGACAGCUAAGCCAGUGUGCUACGGCUACUGAGCCUGAGCUCUGGAGCCAGCAAGCCACAACUGCUGAGCCCGCAGGCCCUAGAGCCUGUGUGCCACGAGAAAAGCCACUGAGAUGAGAAGCCUGAGCACUGCAACCAGAGAGUAACCGCCCUACCACGAGAAAAGCCAUUGAAAUGAGAAGCCUGAGCACUGCAACUACAGAGUAACCGCCCUGCUCGCUGCGACUAGAGAAAAGCCUGCUUGCAGCAACGAAGACCCAGCACAGCCA